rnacentral:rRNA from 1 species
UACGUAGGGUGCGAGCGUUGUCCGGAAUUAUUGGGCGUAAAGAGCUCGUAGGCGGUUUGUCGCGUCGACUGUGAAAACCUGGGGCUUAACUCUGGGCCUGCAGUCGAUACUGCCGUGACUAGAGUUCGGUAGAGGAGUGUGGAAUUCCUGGUGGAGCGGUGAAAUGCGCAGAGAUCAGGAGGAACACCCGUAGCGAAGGCGGCACUCUGGGCCGAUACUGACACUGAGGAGCGAAAGCGUGGGGAGCGAACAGG